ACCCCUGUAGCUCAGCGGAUCAGAGCGCGACGUUGCGGACGUCGAGGUCGAAGGUUCGAAUCCUUUCAGGGGUG
rnacentral:tRNA from 1 species